GAUGAACGCUGGCGGCGUGCCUAAUACAUGCAAGUCGAGCGAACAGAUGAGGAGCUUGCUCCUCUGACGUUAGCGGCGGACGGGUGAGUAGCACGUGGAUAACCUACCUAUAAGACUGGGAUAACUUCGGGAAACCGGAGCUAAUACCGGAUAAUAUAUUGAACCGCAUGGUUCAAUAGUGAAAGACGGUUUUGCUGUCACUUAUAGAUGGAUCCGCGCCGCAUUAGCUAGUUGGUAAGGUAACGGCUUACCAAGGCAACGAUGCGUAGCCGACCUGAGAGGGUGAUCGGCCACACGGGAACUGAGACACGGUCCAGACUCCUACGGGAGGCAGCAGUAGGGAACCUUCCGCAAUGGGCGAAAGCCUGACGGAGCAACGCCGCGUGAGUGAUGAAGGUCUUCGGAUCGUAAAACUCUGUUAUUAGGGAAAAACAAAUGUGUAAGUAACUAUGCACGUCUUGACGGUACCUAAUCAGAAAGCCACGGCUAACUACGUG
rnacentral:rRNA from 1 species